AUUGAACGCUGGCGGCAGGCCUAACACAUGCAAGUCGAGCGGAUGAAGGGAGCUUGCUCCUGGAUUCAGCGGCGGACAGGUGAGUAAUGCCUAGGAAUCUGCCUGGUAGUGGGGGAUAACGUCCGGAAACGGGCGCUAAUACCGCAUACGUCCUGAGGGAGAAAGUGGGGGAUCUUCGGACCUCACGCUAUCAGAUGAGCCUAGGUCGGAUUAGCUAGUUGGUGGGGUAAAGGCCUACCAAGGCGACGAUCCGUAACUGGUCUGAGAGGAUGAUCAGUCACACUGGAACUGAGACACGGUCCAGACUCCUACGGGAGGCAGCAGUGGGGAAUAUUGGACAAUGGGCGAAAGCCUGAUCCAGCCAUGCCGCGUGUGUGAAGAAGGUCUUCGGAUUGUAAAGCACUUUAAGUUGGGAGGAAGGGCAGUAAGUUAAUACCUUGCUGUUUUGACGUUACCAACAGAAUAAGCACAGGCUAACUUCGUG
rnacentral:rRNA from 1 species